GAUGAACGCUGGCGGCGUGCCUAAUACAUGCAAGUCGAGCGAACAGACGAGGAGCUUGCUCCUCUGACGUUAGCGGCGGACAGGGGAGUAAUACGUGGAGAACCUACCUAUAAGACUGGGAUAACUUCGGGAUACAGGAGCUGCUACCGCGUGAUAUAUUGAACCGCUUGCUUCAAUAGUGAAAGACGGUUUUGCUGUCACUUAUAGAUGGAUCCGCGCCGCAUUAGCUAGUUGGUAAGGUAACGGCUUACCAAGGCAACGAUGCGUAGCCGGCCUGAGAGGGUGAUCGGCCACACUGGAACGGAGAGACGGUCCAGACUGCUACGGGAGGGAGGAGGAGGGAAUCUUCCGCAAUGGGCGGAAGCCUGACGGAGCAACGCCGCGUGAGUGAGGAAGGUCUGCGGAUCGGAAGACUCUGUUUUUCGGGAAGAACAAAUGUGUAAGUAGCUAUUCACUGCUUGACGGUUCCUAAUCAGAGAGCCACGGCUAAAUACGUU
rnacentral:rRNA from 1 species